rnacentral:lncRNA from 1 species
ACACCGGACACCGGACACUGCUCCGGACACCGACGUCAGCACCGGACACCGAGGUCAGCACCGGACACCGGACACCGGACACCGAAGUCAGCACCGGACACCGGACACCGGACAGUGCUCCGGACACCGGACACCGGAUACCGGACACGAUCAGUACCAGACACCGGACAAUGGACAGUGAACACUGCUCCAGACACCAGAUACCGGGCACCGGAUACCGGAUACUGGACACCGGGCACCGGACACUGCUCCGGACACCGGACACCGAACACUGGACAUGGUCAGCACCGGACAUCGGACACUGCUCCGGACACCGGAUACCGGGCACCAGACACCGGACACUGGACACUGCUCCGGACACCGGACACCGGAAACCGGACACUGGAUACCGGACACCGGGCACCGGACACUGAUCCGGACACCGGACACCGGAUACCGGACACGGUCAGCACCGGACACCAGACACCGGGCACCGGACACUGCUCUGGACACCGGACACUGGAUACCGGACACCAGACACUGGACACCGGACAGUGGACAGUGCUCCAGACACCGGACACCGGACAGUGGACACCGGACACUGCUCCGGACAGUGGACACCCGACAGGGGUCAGUGGACAUUGGACAGUGCUCUGGACAGUGGACAAUGGGCACCGGACACUGGGCAGUGGGCACUGGACACCGGACACCGGGCACUGCUCCGGACACCGGACACUGCCCUGGACAGUGGACACCGGACAGUGGACAGUGGACACUGCUCCGGACACCGGACACCGGGCAGUGCUGUGUCAGUGGUCAGGGAAUGGGGUGUGGUCAGUGGGUGUGGUCAGUUGGGUGUUGUCAGCGGGUGUGGUCAGUGGGUGUGGUCAGUGGUCAGUGGGUGUGGUCAGUUGGGUGUGGUCAUUGGGGUAUGGUCAGUGGGUGUGGUCAUUGGGUGUGGUCAGCUGGGUGUGGUCAGUGGGUGUGGUCAUUUGGGGUGUGGUCAGUUUGGGGUGUGGUCAGUUUGGGUGUGGUCAGUGGGUGUGGUCAUUUGGGGUGUGGUCAGUUUGGGUGUGGUCAGUUUGGGUGUGGUCAGUUUGGGGUGUGAUCAAUGGUCAGUGGGUGUGGUCAGUUGGGUGUGGUCAGUUGGGGUG